AUGCGUGAGUUCUUUUUUCAUAAUUUUCUUUGCGACUCCGACGAUUCAUCGUCCGAUGACGAGGAGAAGAUAUUGGCUGCCGUGUUGGUUCAUCACCACCUCAACAGCCAACGCCAGUUGUUUCGUGCCUCCAUUUCGAGCCACCUUCCGGCGUUGAAUCGCAACCGAGAAAGUGGACAUUUCUUUCUUUGGAAGGACUACUUUGAUACAACAAAUUCGUUGUUCAAACAUCAAAAAUUCUGCCGCCGUUUCCGUAUGAGUAGAUAUCUUUUCAACCGUAUUAGAGAGGGGGUGGUUGGCUAUGAUGACUAUUUCGAGUGCAAAGAGAAUGCCGUUGGCAAGAUUGGUUUCUCCUCUUAUCAGAAAUGCAUUGUCGCCAUCUGA
rnacentral:rRNA from 1 species